GGGCACUGCAUAUCUUGGGUAUUGUUAUAUAUAGCUGGGCAUCAUUCCUUUAGGAUGGGAGGCUCCAGCCUGGGCCCUGCCCAUGAGGGGCCUUGUAAGAUGUCUCUUCCUCCAUCACCUAAGAGAUGUGACUCUCUUCUUUUGCCUGCAUCCUGCCCACAGAAAAUGUUGUAAUGUAUUGCUGGACCCAGUCACCAGAUGAUGUGUCUCUCCUGCCAAGGCUGUGCCCACAGAGAGCAUUUUGACAUAUCACUGGGCUCAGCACCCAGGUGAAAUGACUCUGCUGCCUGUACUCUGCUUUAAGAGGGGAUUGUAAUAUAUCUGUGGCUGAGCACCUAGGUGAGAUGACUUCUGCGUGGUUUCUGACCUCAGGAAAGAUUGUGACAUAUCUUUGCCGAAAACCUACAUGAUGUGAAUCUGCUGCUCACUUCCUACCGACAGUCUCCAAAGUUAUCAGAAACCUGCAUUUAAAAAUACCUGGCAAAGUUCCAUAGCGGACCAUAAAUCACCUCUUGAAGAGGAUCGAAUCAAGACAACAAUUGUCUGAGGGAUUGAGACAAUUCUGGAAGCCCAGCACCUAGGUGAUGUGACUUUCAUCUUUUGUUUGGACCGUGUGCACAAAAGGAAGAGUGGCUUAUCACUGGACCUCACACACAGGAGGUAUUGUGACAUAUUCCUGGAGCAAGUACCCAGUGAUUGUGACAUAUCAUCAAACCCAGCAACUAGACGAUGUGAUUUUUCUUCCCUGCUUGAGCCCUGGAUAUGCUGUGCAUUGUGAUAUAUGGCUGGGUCCAACAUCAAGGAGAGAUUGUGACAUAUCUCUGGAACCAGAACCUUGGUGAUGUGACUCUUCUCUCCUGCUGAAGCCAUGCCCACACAAGGGAAAGUGACUUAUCACUGGGCCCAGCACACAGCGCUAUUCACAGGGAAAAUAGUGACACAUCUGUGGGGUUCUCACCGAAAUGAUGUGACUCUCUUGCCUGGGCUCACCUCUCAAGGGAAUUUUGACAUAUUACUGGACCAAGCACCUAGGCCCUGCAUUUAUUGUGUAUUGUGACAUAUGGCUUGGUCCAACACCUAGGUGGUGUGACUCUCUACUUCUUCCUGUGCCAUGCCAAAGAAGAGGAUUGUGACAUAUCACUGGAUCCAGCACCUAGGUCUUUUCCCACAGGGAGCAUUGUGAAAUAUCACUGGGCUCAGCCCCCAGGUUAUGUGACCUUUCUGCCUUGCCCUGCUCCCAGGAAAUGUUGUGACAUCCCUCAUACAGCACCCAGGUGAUGCGACUCUUCUGCUCAUUUUCUACUUAUACUUGGGAUUGUGACAAAUAUCCUGGUCCAACUCAUAGGUGCUAUGAUGAUUCCCAUACCUGGAAUCAGCUAAUAGGGGAGAUAGUGUCUCUUGUAUUGUAGCUUAGGGAAAAAAGUAACAUCUUGGGCCUCCUCUUUGUAUGAAUGUCAUAAAGAAUUACCAAUCUG
ensembl:lncRNA novel transcript